UACGUAGGGGGCAAGCGUUGUCCGGAAUCAUUGGGCGUAAAGAGCGUGUAGGCGGCCCGGUAAGUCCGCUGUGAAAGUCCAGGGCUCAACCCUGGGAUGCCGGUGGAUACUGUCGGGCUCGAGUCCGGAAGAGGAGUGUGGAAUUCCUGGUGUAGCAGUGAAAUGCGUAGAGAUCGGGAGGAACACCAGUGGCGAAGGCGGCCUUCUGGACCAGUACUGACGCUCAUGCACGAAAGCGUGGGGAGCAAACAGG
rnacentral:rRNA from 1 species